UAAGAUUUUAAUUUGGUCUUCAUCUGUUAAUUUCUUUUCUGUGUGUAAAUUAAAAAGAUAUCUCGUUACUCACUAGAGGUGCUUUGUAUUCAAUAUAUCCCCAAGUCUUAAUUAUUUGUACUUCUUUAAUUGCCACCGGUAACGCGAUAAGCCAUCGAUUCUUUUGACUUAACGAAACAGCUCUUAUUAAUAUCCAGUUCUUUGUUUAACCCACGAUCAACAUUUAUCACAUCAAGGCACACAGCCUGAGAUUGAAGUAGAAAAGUGAUGCGACCAAUUUAGGAAAAUGUCCGAAAAAUUCCCCCAUCAUACGUGUAAGUGGUCUUUGAUCACAGAAAUCCCCCAUUCUAUGCUCAUGUAUUUCCCAUGUGAACAACAAGGGCAGUCACCUUUGCCCUUUACUAAAAAUGUAUGCAUUUAUUCUAGAGUGAAGUGCAGCUAUGAUACACGUGGUCUUCUUCUGUAUCUCUUAUAGCGCAAAGAUAGCUAACUGUGUAUCACUAGAUAGCGACUGUAAGAGUAUAAUAGAUGCUAUGUUCCUAUCUUUGUGUGGAUUCCAAAUAAAAUCAAAUUAUCAGCCUUUUCCCCGGCAAGAAAUUUUGAAAGACAAAUCUUUCGUUAUGUUUACUAAAGCCAAAAACGCCAUUUUAACGAAAACAAGCGAAAUAAAGGCUGUAUUUACCAGUACUUGUAAGCAUUCGCCCCCGUAAUUGUAUACCUAGAUAGAAUGUGGAAAGAAAGGAUAUUUUUGUAUUUGCAUUAGAUUUUUCAUAGAAUGAUUCUGAAAAUCGAAAAAAUGGCUGUGAUUUCCGCUUUUUAACGCUAAAAUUUACUUUUCACGAAAUAUCUCCUGAAAACUUUUGGGAAUUCUAGGCAGUGGUGGUUACGUGUUGCCGAUUUACCGAGUCCGGUACAAUCACCGGUCAACAGAGGAUCAUUGGCAUCACAAAUCGUCCCUCAAAACAAACUAGCGAUGCAAAUCUUGGAAGUGAUUCUUUUAUUCAUUAAAUAUUCAUAGAGAGACUUGACUGACGCCUACAAACUGAUGCUUGGUCAAAGAGUUAAACAAAGCCAAGAGGGGAGUCUUGCUUCUCUAUGUUUGGAACACGUUGAAAACAGCUGCAAAUCAGUCGAUUAAAAAAAUGCAUAAAGUUAGAUGACUCUUCAAACGUCCCUACAGUUGUUUGGAAAUUGUGAAGUUUACACAGCGCAUGCGCAGGACACUGGGAUGUGAAAUUCUAGGCUUUUAAAGGUGUUUCCGUGUAGCAGUYAAGGCAGGCUUGGCACAUUCCUGCCUUGUACCUCUGUGGUCUGUGAGGUGUUUGACGUAGUUUUGGCAGAGAACGAAAGGAGAAACCCUGGCCAAACUUGGCCAUAUUGAUUAUUCAUUCAUGGUUUAUUUUAAAGCUCAGAAACAUCUGCUUCACCUAUUUAAAUCUCUACAAACAAAAGAAAUCUAAUUCACUGCAUGGCGUGGUAACACCUUUAAUCAAGAUGAGAAGCUAGAGCUGCAGUAACUUGUUCAAAAUUCAGCCCCCCAACUCGUCAAAAUCACCUACAUUUGGGGAUACCAAGUUCUUAAUGGGAAAUACAAUCAGUGAAAAUUAGAGAUUUCAGUGAUUUUUCUUGAAAAGAAAGUGCUUGGCUGUGUUGAAUGGGUACGGAGGAUGACAAUUAAGACAAAGCUAGAGGUGCUUACAAUAAAGGAUAUCAGACCAAGCAGUGCCCGAUUCAGACGGUCCUUUACAAACAUCAUGUGUCGUUUGUGAACCAAUCAUAGCCUGUCUCCACAGAAUAGUCCCUAGUGGAGUUGAAUGAAAAAAACCCAUUCAUGCCAGCGCAGGUUGCUGCCAAUUGUGUAAAUUCUAGAGCGUGUGUGCACAUAAUACCUGUUCCAUCUUUCUAUUAAUGGCUCUUGGUCGUGAAAAGUCAGCCCGCAGCUGCUGCUUGUCUAUUAAACAAUUACAUGUUUGCAGCUGGGAUGGGAGAGAAGGCAAUUAGACCCAGCAACGGACACUAGAUUAAUCUUUACAAAAGAGCUUACCGACAUCACUGACGCACACAAUCGAGCCUUUAAGGUGUAAUCGUAGGGAAUCUUCUUARGUGUGCAACUAUUGGUUCCCCUCUUGUUGCCUGGGCUAACGCCUCAUGUUUGCAAAAACCUAAUGUCCUUCGAUAACAACUGGUAAAAUGAGUGUAUCAUUUUCACAAUUCCAUUUAGCUUUAGAGACAAAGUGGGCCUAUUAAUGCACAUUAGAAAAUCAGGGCGUAUAUCUAGGUUAUCAUGAUCAGUUUGGUGAGACCUAGAGGUACACGUGCCCCCCUAUGUAAGAAGAUACCAUUUAAUUAACCAUGUCCCAUUGUGGGAUGGUCAAUUCUUGAGCAUUACUUACUGAAUGUUCGAUUAUUCAUUGUUAUGAUAUAAGUGAUUUUUUUGGGGAGGUCAUUGCUUUAUACCCAUACUUCAAACACCGAUGUUUUUUCUUCAAAUAUGGUUCCACGUGUGAAAGUUGGUAACAGUAAAACGGUUUGAAGAAGAGAACUCAUUAGUCGUAACACACUUGCUCUUAGGAAACAUGUAGUAGCAAAAAUGUACUAAAAAUGUCCCUUUGGUUAAGUUAGUGGAUGAUUGAUAGCACUCAGGUGAUAAAAUAGGAAACUUGCGACACCCUUCACUCUAGAUGUAUGUCCCCUCAAACACAGGGUCUCGACCAUCACAAAGAAAAACACAUCAACACAUAAACCUUUUGCUUUUUAACACUAUUUAAAGUUUAAACUUCAGCAAGAACAUCAAGGACUCAAAUUAUGUAAAACAAAAGACCUCAGUAUAAACUCAUUAAUGUCUCAUUUGCAUGUAUGAACAAGAGCAUAAACGAAUAGAUAUAUCCCCUGGUGUCCUUUGAAAUCUCCCAUGAUCACACACGGCUAUACACAACAUAAAUGAUAGUGAACUGAUCAAAGAUCACAAACACCUAAAAAUAAUUAUUGACUCCUCGUCGCUCCUUUUGCUUUUUAAUGAAAAACUGAAUUCCAUAUACAUUGUGUAUACGAAUAUUUGUUAUGAAAAGUGACUAUUAAAGUUAUUUACAAGG